rnacentral:rRNA from 1 species
GAUGAACGCUGGCGGCGUGCCUAAUACAUGCAAGUCGAGCGAACGAGCGACAAGCUUGCUGCUCUGAGGUUAGGGGCGGACGAGUGAGUAACAAGUCGAUAACCACCCUAUCCGUCUUGCUGGACAACGGCAUACCGGAGCGGCUACCACAUGAUAUUUUGGACCUCUUGGUUCAUGAGUGAGAGACGGUCUUUGUGUCGCUUGUAGAUGGGUCCGCGCUGCAUUAGCUAGUUGGUAGGGUGACGGCGUACCAAGGCAGCGAUGCAUAGCCGACCUGAGAGGGUGAUCGGCCACACUGGAACUGAGACACGGCCCAGACUCCUACGGGAGGCAGCAGUAGGGAAGCUUCCGCAAUGGGCGAAAGCAUGACGGAGCAACGCCGCGUGAGUGAGGAAGGUCGUCGGAUCGUAAAACUCUGUUAUUAGGGAAGAACAUAUGUGUAAGUAACUGUGCAUAUCUUGACGGUACCUAAUUAGAAAGCCACGGCUAACUACGUG